GUCAGUAAGUGUCAGACAGAUUGCGGGAUAUAUCGGCGAUAAGAUAUAUUGUGGUGUUUCUUCGUAGAGGAUGUCGCGAAAAUGAUUUUUAAAGAUUUCGAAGGUGAUCUGCUCGGGGACUAAUAGCGUGAGGUGUUCUUUUGUGUUAUGCACAUUAGCAAGAAGAUAUAAAAUUCAAAUUUUGGAUACAGUAAUAUAGCAUCAAAGAGAGUGGUGUCACGUAUGAAGAUUUAUUUCGUGCUGGAGAGAUAACGACAACUUUGAAGACACAACGUUCGGUUGCUAGCUGAAAUGCAUGUCUGAGAGAACUUCCAGGGAAUUUUAAAUUGGAAAAAUAAAUUGAAGCUUUCUAUUAACUUGCCGGAAACUUAAAAUAACGGAGUCGGAAGGUGAAAUUGAAGAAAGUUCAGAUCUUCGGAACAGAGUGCCGAC
rnacentral:misc_RNA from 1 species